rnacentral:rRNA from 1 species
AACGGCCGUACCAUGCUGAAUAUACCGGUUCUCGUUAGAUCACCGAAGUCAAGCAUCAUUGGGCGCGGUCAGUACUUGGGUGGAUGGCCACCUGGGAACACCGCGUGCCGUU